rnacentral:rRNA from 1 species
UUCCGGUUGAUCCUGCCGGACCCGACUGCUAUCAGAGUGAGAUUAAGCCAUGCGAGUUAACGUAGCAAUACGUGGCGCACGGCUCAGUAACACGUAGUCAACAUGCCCAGAGGACGUGGAUAACCUCGGGAAACUGAGUCUAAACCGCGAUAAGUGAGGAUUUCUGGAAUGGUUCCUGACUAAAAUCUAUAUGGCCUCUGGAUUGGACUGCGGCCGAUCAGGCUGUUGGUGAGGUAAUGGCCCACCAAACCUGUAACCGGUACGGGCUCGGAGAGGAGGAGCCCGGAGAUGGGCACUGAGACAAGGGCCAGGCCCUAUGGGGCGCAGCAGGCGCGAAACCUUCGCAAUGCGCGAAAGCGUGACGAGGUUAAUCCGAGUGACUCCCGCUGAGGGGGUCUUUUGUCAGCUGUAAAUAGGCAGGCGAAUAAGGGGAGGGCAAGCCUGGUGUCAGCCGCCGCGGUAAUACCAGCUCCUCGAGUGGUCGGGACGUUUAUUGGGCCUAAAGCAUCCGUAGCCGGUUCUGCAAGUCUUCCGUUAAAUCCACCUGCUUAACAGAUGGGCUGCGGAGGAUACUACAGAGCUAGGAGGCAGGAGAGGCAAGCGGUACUCAGUGGGUAGGGGUAAAAUCCGUUGAUCCAUUGAAGACCACCAGUGGCGAAGGCGGCUUGCCAGAAUGCGCUCGACGGUGAGGGAUGAAAGCUGGGGGAGCAAACCGGAUUAGAUACCCGGGUAGUCCCAG